rnacentral:lncRNA from 1 species
UUAUAUUAGAUGCUGAAAAUUAUCAUUAGUCAUCCAGUACUCCGUGAAUCCCACCUUUCGGAGAUCACCACACCAUUAUCUAUAUUUUCGGUUAUUUGUUCACAAAGCGAGAAGUUUUGCAUUCUCAAUGACUCAGAAAGUCAGUCUGGGGAUUCAACAAUCUGGUAGGGGAUCAUUGAGAUCUGGUAUUGCAAUGAAAGCUUUGCGCCCAGGUAGUGAAGAAGAUUGAACGGUGGGUUGACAUGAUCCAUGUAAUUGAACAUCCUCAAGAGCCAUG